rnacentral:tRNA from 1 species
AGUCAAAUGGCCGAGGAGUAGGCAUUAAAUUGUAAAUUUAAGUACGGGGUCCCCCCCUUUGACUAAACAAACCAGCG